rnacentral:rRNA from 1 species
AUUGAACGCUGGCGGCAGGCCUAACACAUGCAAGUCGAGCGGCAGCGGAAAGUAGCUUGCUACUUUGCCGGCGAGCGGCGGACGGGUGAGUAAUGUCUGGGAAACUGCCUGGUGGAGGGGGAUAACUACUGGAAACGGUAGCUAAUACCGCAUAACGUCGCAAGACCAAAGAGGGGGACCUUCGGGCCUCUUGCCAUCAGAUGUGCCCAGAUGGGAUUAGCUAGUAGGUGGGGUAACGGCUCACCUAGGCGACGAUCCCUAGCUGGUCUGAGAGGAUGACCAGCCACACUGGAACAGAGACACGGUCCAGACUCAUACGGGAGGCAGCAGUGGGGAAUAUUGCACAAUGGGCGCAAGCCUGAUGCAGCCAUGCCGCGUGUAUGAAGAAGGCGUUCGGGUUGUAAAGUACUUUCAGCGGGGAGGAGGGUGUUGAGGUUAAUAACCUCAGCAAUUGACGUUACCCGCAGAAGAAGCACCGGCUAACUCCGUGCCAGCAGCCGCCGUAAAAC